rnacentral:rRNA from 1 species
GGGGACAACAUUUGGAAACAGAUGCUAAUACCGCAUAACAACGUUGUUCGCAUGAACAACGCUUAAAAGAUGGCUUCUCGCUAUCACUUCUGGAUGGACCUGCGGUGCAUUAGCUUGUUGGUGGGGUAACGGCCUACCAAGGCGAUGAUGCAUAGCCGAGUUGAGAGACUGAUCGGCCACAAUGGGACUGAGACACGGCCCAUACUCCUACGGGAGGCAGCAGUAGGGAAUCUUCCACAAUGGGCGCAAGCCUGAUGGAGCAACACCGCGUGAGUGAAGAAGGGUUUCGGCUCGUAAAGCUCUGUUGUUAAAGAAGAACACGUAUGAGAGUAACUGUUCAUACGUUGACGGUAUUUAACCAGAAAGUCACGGCUAACUACGUGCCAGCAGCCGCGGUAAUACGUAGGUGGCAAGCGUUAUCCGGAUUUAUUGGGCGUAAAGAGAGUGCAGGCGGUUUUCUAAGUCUGAUGUGAAAGCCUUCGGCUUAACCGGAGAAGUGCAUCGGAAACUGGAUAACUUGAGUGCAGAAGAGGGUAGUGGAACUCCAUGUGUAGCGGUGGAAUGCGUAGAUAUAUGGGAAGAACACCAGUGGCGAAGGCGGCUACCUGGUCUGCAACUGACGCUGAGACUCGAAAGCAUGGGUAGCGAACAGGAUUAGAUACCCUGGUAGUCCAUGCCGUAAACGAUGAGUGCUAGGUGUUGGAGGGUUUCCGCCCUUCAGUGCCGGAGCUAACGCAUUAAGCACUCCGCCUGGGGAGUACGACCGCAAGGUUGAAACUCAAAGGAAUUGACGGGGGCCCGCACAAGCGGUGGAGCAUGUGGUUUAAUUCGAAGCUACGCGAAGAACCUUACCAGGUCUUGACAUCUUGCGCCAACCCUAGAGAUAGGGCGUUUCCUUCGGGAACGCAAUGACAGGUGGUGCAUGGUCGUCGUCAGCUCGUGUCGUGAGAUGUUGGGUUAAGUCCCGCAACGAGCGCAACCCUUGUUACUAGUUGCCAGCAUUAAGUUGGGCACUCUAGUGAGACUGCCGGUGACAAACCGGAGGAAGGUGGGGACGACGUCAGAUCAUCAUGCCCCUUAUGACCUGGGCUACACACGUGCUACAAUGGACGGUACAACGAGUCGCGAACUCGCGAGGGCAAGCAAAUCUCUU